UUUGACAAAUUUAGUAAUUUUGAAUUACAAAAUAUUUCAACCUAUUUUUCUCUCUAAAAAUCUCAACCCUAAAAUUCUACCUCUAAUUUCUAUCUCUCUCAAUUUCCUUCACCUACCUGGUCCCACAAUUUGGUUCUAAGUCUGGAGAAUAGUAGGUCAACACUAGUGGUGAUCCUUGGUUCAAGUUCGUGAGGAGAUUACAAGGAACGAGAAGCUACAAAGAACAAGUACUAUUUUAUGGUGGUGAAAGAUCAACUCAUAAUCUUCGUUGAUCUUGAUGUUGUGCCAUUGUUCGUUGCUGAAGCGUGCUACGGAGAAGAUCGUUUGGUCUUAGUGGGAGCCUAAGACAUCAUCUCUUAAGAAGAAGUUCUAUAACUUAGAGGGAGCAUAAGUUUAUAACAUGAGGAGAUAUUCACAAGGAAAAUGGAAAGAUACGAAUAGAGAAGAAACAUUAUACUUAGGGUGAGCCUAAGUAUAUAUUCACUAUUCGCAUUAUAGUAAGGAAGAGUCUAAGAACGUUCAAAGUGAGGGGAUCUCACACUUAGGGGAGUCUAAGGGAUCGUUUUCUAAAUCAAGCUAUUUGACUAUCAUUGUAAUUUUCAUGUACUUACAGAUGAAUUGCUUAACUUUAUAUUAGUUAAUAUAUCUUUCCACGGGCUGCCCAGACGUAGGUGGUAUGGCUUUUGAACUAGGUUACCAAACUUUUUUUUUCUACUUUUGUAUGUGAUGUCUUUGGAAAUGAUGUAACAUCGUGUGUAAGAAGUUUUGUUGUGUAUUAGACAAUCUUCAUUUUUUCACUAUCAUAUAUGUAUCUUGUACCUU